GGGUCGGUAGCUCAAUUGGUAGAGCAGGAGCCUUUUAAGCUCAAGGUCGUGGGUUCGAUUCCCACCCGACCCACAA
rnacentral:tRNA from 2 species